UACGUAGGGCGCAAGCGUUGUCCGGAAUUAUUGGGCGUAAAGAGCUCGUAGGUGGCUUGUCACGUCGGGUGUGAAAGCUUGGGGCUUAACUCCAGGUCUGCAUUCGAUACGGGCUGGCUAGAGGUAGGUAGGGGAGAACGGAAUUCCUGGUGUAGCGGUGAAAUGCGCAGAUAUCAGGAGGAACACCGGUGGCGAAGGCGGUUCUCUGGGCCUUGCCUGACGCUGAGGCGCGAAAGCUAGGGGAGCGAACAGG
rnacentral:rRNA from 1 species